rnacentral:ncRNA from 1 species
UAUCUGCACUAGGGGUGCGAAUUAGCUGAGAUGUGAGCAUUAGCUCCGAUCCCUUAUGACUCGAUCAGGAUAAUACCUGCGUGAGGAAGUGUAGUGACUUCUCU